GCUUCGAUGGCCGAUUGGUGAAGACGUUAGACUCGAAAUUCGAUGGGCAAUGUCUUAACUGGUUCGAAUCCUAUUCGUAGCA
rnacentral:tRNA from 1 species